rnacentral:rRNA from 1 species
UACCAUGCAAGUCGAGCGGUAGCACAAGGGAGCUUGCUCCCUGGGUGACGAGCGGCGGACGGGUGAGUAAUGUCUGGGAAACUGCCUGAUGGAGGGGGAUAACUACUGGAAACGGUAGCUAAUACCGCAUAACGUCGCAAGACCAAAGAGGGGGACCUUCGGGCCUCUUGCCAUCAGAUGUGCCCAGAUGGGAUUAGCUAGUAGGUGGGGUAAUGGCUCACCUAGGCGACGAUCCCUAGCUGGUCUGAGAGGAUGACCAGCCACACUGGAACUGAGACACGGUCCAGACUCCUACGGGAGGCAGCAGUGGGGAAUAUUGCACAAUGGGCGCAAGCCUGAUGCAGCCAUGCCGCGUGUGUGAAGAAGGCCUUCGGGUUGUAAAGCACUUUCAGCGAGGAGGAAGGUGGUGAGCUUAAUACGCUCAUCAAUUGACGUUACUCGCAGAAGAAGCACCGGCUAACUCCGUGCCAGCAGCCGCGGUAAUACGGAGGGUGCAAGCGUUAAUCGGAAUUACUGGGCGUAAAGCGCACGCAGGCGGUUUGUUAAGUCAGAUGUGAAAUCCCCGGGCUCAACCUGGGAACUGCAUUUGAAACUGGCAAGCUAGAGUCUCGUAGAGGGGGGUAGAAUUCCAGGUGUAGCGGUGAAAUGCGUAGAGAUCUGGAGGAAUACCGGUGGCGAAGGCGGCCCCCUGGACGAAGACUGACGCUCAGGUGCGAAAGCGUGGGGAGCAAACAGGAU